GACGAACGCUGGCGGCGUGCCUAACACAUGCAAGUCGAGCGGGGUUGAAGCGAGGGGUAACUCGGACUUCUACCUAGCGGCGGACGGGUGAGUAACGCGUGGGCAACCUGCCUCAAGGUUUGGGAUAACAGCUCGAAAGGGCUGCUAAUACCGGAUAUGCCUGUGGCCUCGCAUGGGGCUAUGAGCAAAGGGGAAACCCGCCUUGAGAUGGGCCCGCGUCCCAUCAGCUAGUUGGUGAGGUGAAGGCUCACCAAGGCGACGACGGGUAGCCGGCCUGAGAGGGUGACCGGCCACACUGGGACUGAGACACGGCCCAGACUCCUACGGGGGGCAGCAGUGGGGGAUCUUGCACAAUGGGCGAAAGCCUGAUGCAGCGACGCCGCGUGAGCGAAGAAGGCCUUCGGUUGUAAAGCUCUGUCUGGAGGGACGGAAACAAAUAGACGGUACCUCCGGAGGAAGCCACGGCUAACUAACGUG
rnacentral:rRNA from 1 species